rnacentral:tRNA from 1 species
GGCCAGGUAGCUCAGUUGGUUAGAGCAUUGCCCCAACGCACCAAGGUUUCAGGUUCGAUCCCUGGUCAGGGCA